rnacentral:rRNA from 1 species
AUUGAACGCUGGCGGCAUGCCUUACACAUGCAAGUCGAACGGCAGCACGGGAGCAAUCCUGGUGGCGAGUGGCGAACGGGUGAGUAAUAUAUCGGAACGUGCCCAGUCGUGGGGGAUAACGUAGCGAAAGCUACGCUAAUACCGCAUACGAUCUAUGGAUGAAAGCGGGGGAUCUUCGGACCUCGCGCCAUUAGAUGAGCCUAGGUCGGAUUAGCUAGUUGGUGAGGUAAUGGCUCACCGAGCCGACGAUCUGUAGCUGGUCUGAGAGGACGACCAGCCACACUGGGACUGAGACACGGCCCAGACUCCUACGGGAGGCAGCAGUGGGGAAUUUUGGACAAUGGGCGCAAGCCUGAUCCAGCAAUGCCGCGUGCAGGAUGAAGGCCUUCGGGUUGUAAACUGCUUUGUACGGAACGAAACGGUGAGCUCUAAUACAGUUUGCUAAUGACGGUACCGUAAGAAUAAGCACCGGCUAACUACGUG